rnacentral:rRNA from 1 species
UACGUAGGGCGCAAGCGUUGUCCGGAAUUAUUGGGCGUAAAGAGCUCGUAGGCGGUCUGUCGCGUCCGUUGUGAAAACUCGAGGCUCAAACCUCGGGCUUGCAGUGGAUACGGGCAGACUAGAGUGCGGUAGGGGAGACUGGAAUUCCUGGUGUAGCGGUGAAAUGCGCAGAUAUCAAGGAGGAACACCGGUGGCGAAGGCGGGUCUCUGGGCAAACAACGUGACGCUGAGGAGCGAAAGCGUGGGGAGCGAACAGGA